rnacentral:rRNA from 1 species
CGGGUGAGUAACGCGUAUGCAACUUGCCUAUCAGGAGGGGAGUAACCGGCGAAGUACGGACUAAUACCGCAUGAAGCAGGGGCCCCCGCAUGGGGAUAUUUGCUAAAGAUUCAUCGCUGAUAGAUAGGCAUGCGUUCCAUUAGGCAGUUGGCGGGGUAACGGCCCACCAAACCGACGAUCAGUAGCCGACCUGAGAGGGUGACCGGCCACAUUGGGACUGAGACACGGCCCAA